ACAAGGUCAGGUGUUGAGAUCAACAAAGUCAGGCGUUGACUUACUUUGUUACUUAAUUACUGGUGAGAGCGUGUAGGGUGAAAGCUGAUAAUUUUAUUGGCUUUCAAGAGCUAUCUUUGUUUAUAGGUCACUGCCUGGAAUCGAACUCAGAAUCAUGGGAAAAAAUACUUUAGGAAUGAGGACUCAUGUUCGAAAUUUCCCCAAGACACCUGAUGAAGGCUGGGUGGUAUAUCAACCGAAACGCUGUGUUAACAACAAACAAGAUGGGGACAAAUAUCCGUCAAAUGUUAAUAAUAUAAAUAACGUACAUAAUUCCUCAUCUCUUAAAUAUAGAACCAUUAACCAUUCUUCGCCUUCUUAACUCCUUUUUACUUUAUAGAUUUUUCCGGUGUAUUACUCAUCUUGCAUGAUUUUAUUAAAAGGAUGUAAUCCCUUGACUUCAUAUAUACAUAUGCAAAAUAACCUCAAACUAAAAUAAAGUCAGCUUGGCAAUCUACUACUUAAAAAUACUACCCUGCUCUUAUUCUUUUUCAUACACACCCGUUCAAUCUUUUUCCAAACUCCUCUAAACUCUUACUACCCACUUCCCUUUUAGCCUCGCCAUCUUCCCCACUUUCAACUACCUUUGUAUUUCUCCUCCUAGCGAAAAGUACAUUGCACUACCCCUACUCCUCUGAAAACUAACCAAUCUACAUAUUCACGUCCCUCUCUUCAAUGUCAUUCUUCUCUCCAUACCAUAACACUCUCCUCUAAUACUAAGUUCCUUUGACCCCAGAACAGCUGCAAUAUUGACCAACUACUCACCAGUACUCAUUCCCACCUCUAUCCUACCUCAUACCUAUCUACAUGCGUUACUAAAAACCGUCAGGCACUGAGCUAGUCAACUUAUUUCCCUCAAAUAAUGGGCAUUCAGAUUUUCACAAUCUCAAUUUUUAACUCUAUAACCUUCGUAUAAAAUGACAAGGCUUACCAUUCACAUACUACAUAAAAAGUCGUUCUCUUUUCUUCCUUCUUUCCACCUCUACGACUAUUGCUCACUAAUAUUCUCGUUAUUAAAUUCUAACCUUGAAAUUUACCUCUCCCACUACUCUCUAACUAAAUAAAUACCUCACAACUCCUCCUAACACACUUAGUUCUCCAGAAAAUCAUUCUGUCCUGAAUCUCCUUUCUGUCAUCGCCUAAAAUCUAAGAGUACAUACUGAAGAGGGAGGCUGGUAUUAUCCGACGAUUUAAUCAAUUUACAAUCAUUAUUUUAGACAACGCGUCCGCCAGAAACAGCAGUUGGUCUCGUAAAUCUCUUAUUCAACCGCUUUAAUUGCUAAUAUCAUUUCUAUUCUGUGUAAGUCGGGCCUUUUUUUUAUGUAAAUUUAUAUACAUUAUUUGUAUUAAAUGUAUAAAAUUUUUUUUUUUUA